rnacentral:lncRNA from 1 species
UGAGAGUCAAAAGCUGUUUUUAGAGAUAUUAUGCUUGUUUUGCAUUGUUUUGCAACAUUUUUAAUGAAAAUAAAGAAUGGGAUUGAAGAUGGAAGGUCUUAGACUCAAGAAAGAAGAAGAAACAUGAAGAAAAGAAGAGUCUAGGAACCGCCCAACGCCAAAAUCCAACGUUGGGCGGCCAAAUGCGAGGAGAAGCAAUAAAUAGCCCUAGUGUGACUUCAGAUGUAUUCUUUUGACAGAAAGGGGCGGCCAUACCUAGUUUCACUCCUUGGAGAAGAUUUCUUGGAUGCUUAGGCUCCUUUUUAUCCAAUCUAGGGUUUGUUUUUCCAUUCUUCCAUUAUUUUUCAUCUAGUUUCACCAUGACAAUGGUGAACUAAACCCUUUUGUUGUUGGGGAACAAUGUAAUCUUUUGAAACACUCUUUUAUUGAAACUCUUAUUUAUUUAUAUGCUUGUCGUAUGCUUUGAUUAUCAAUUGUUGGGUUUUUCAACUGUGCUUAAUGCUUUUAUCGUUUAAUUCAUUCGAUAAUUGUUGUUUGUCUUUAUUGAUACGAGAACGUACGGUGUUGUCAUGAACUAGUGGGAAAUUCCUUGAUUAAGCAAUAUCACCUAGGGAUUGGGGACUAGGACGAUCAAUUUUUUUUGCUUCCGUUUAUCAUGCAUUAUUAAUUACUAGGGGAUGUUAGGGAUAGCAAGCCAGUAAUUAGUAAUAGACUCUUUUCGCCGAGGGAUCGGGUUAAGGGUAGACUAAGAAAGUUUGCAUGACAAUUAGAUAACAAAACGAAUCAAAUAAGAAGAGUAGAUAAAAGAGAAUGGAUAAGAUGAAAUUGUCAACCCCAACAACUCCAUUCAUCCAUAGUCUUUUUCUUGUCAAUUGAAUAAAUCACAUUUGCAUGUUUACUUGUUGUUUCUUGCAUCCAAACCAAUUAAUUUCUCUUUACAAGUCUUACGAUUUCAAUUUGCACGAACGAUAAGGCCUCCGAGUUCUUUGGGAAGAACGAUAUUGGGUUUACCAAUUAUAUUACUUGAAACGAUCUGGUACACUUGCCAGAGUGUUAACACCAACACCCUCUUCUUUUCUUUUCUUCCAUUCUCUACUAUUCUCUUCUCUCCCCAAUGACCCUGAUAAGCUCUUGUUUCUUUAUCAUUCUUUUCCUUCUUGGUUUUACAGAAUCAUAGCCUUUCACACACCCCUUUAACCACACUGACUUACAAUCUGCAAUACGUGACAUGCGAGGAAAAUCUUACAACGGAUUCACAAUGCUUUUGCAGAUGCUCACUGGAACAACAACAUAACCAAAUGGGGAAUUCACUUUCU